rnacentral:rRNA from 1 species
GGCGAACGGGUGAGUAACAUAUCGGAACGUACCCUAUCGUGGGGGAUAACUAUCCGAAAGGAUAGCUAAUACCGCAUACGACCUGAGGGUGAAAGCGGGGGACCUUCGGGCCUCGCGCGAUUGGAGCGGCCGAUGUUAGAUUAGGUAGUUGGUGGGGUAAAGGCUCACCAAGCCGACGAUCUAUAGCUGGUCUGAGAGGACGACCAGCCACACUGGAACUGAGACACGGUCCAGACUCC